CCUACGGGUGGCAGCAGUGAGGAAUAUUGGUCAAUGGGCGCGAGCCUGAACCAGCCAAGUAGCGUGAAGGAUGACUGCCCUACGGGUUGUAAACUUCUUUUAUAAAGGAAUAAAGUGCGGCACGUGUGCCUUUUUGUAUGUACUUUAUGAAUAAGGAUCGGCUAACUCCGUGCCAGCAGCCGCGGUAAUACGGAGGAUCCGAGCGUUAUCCGGAUUUAUUGGGUUUAAAGGGAGCGUAGAUGGGUUGUUAAGUCAGUUGUGAAAGUUUGCGGCUCAACCGUAAAAUAGCAAUUGAUACUGGCAGCCUGGCGUACAGUUGAGGUAGGCGGAAUGCGUGGUGUAGCGGUGAAAUGCGUAGAUAUCACGAAGAACUCCGAUUGAGAAGGCAGCCUACAAGACUGCCACUGA
rnacentral:rRNA from 1 species